rnacentral:pre_miRNA from 1 species
AAUAAACGUAGUUGUGGGUUCAAUGUCCAACUUUAACCAUUUGUCUUAUUUAAAUUUUUUUAUGAUUAAUAUUUUUAUUAUUAUUAGAUGAUAAAAUAUAAAUAGUACUUUAUACGUGACUUUACUUUUAAAUUUUUUUAUAAUUUUUUUAAAUAAGACAGAAAGUCAAACCCUUAUAAUGAGACAGAGCACAAAUA